AGUAACGCGUGAGGAACCUGCCUCAAAGAGGGGGACAACAGUUGGAAACGACUGCUAAUACCGCAUAAGCCCACGGCUCGGCAUCGAGCAGAGGGAAAAGGAGCAAUCCGCUUUGAGAUGGCCUCGCGUCCGAUUAGCUAGUUGGUGAGGUAACGGCCCACCAAGGCGACGAUUGGUAGCCGGACUGAGAGGUUGAACGGCCACAUUGGGACUGAGACACGGCCCAG
rnacentral:rRNA from 1 species